UAAAGAUAACACAUGUAGCACUAUGUCACAUUAUCACUAAACAAUUCACUUUUAUUAAAAACUAGAAUAUUUGCAUAAUAUCUGUAAAACAUGGCGGUGAUUAUCCAGAACUAUUUCAUUUAGCCUUAAAUUAUGAACAUUCCAUAAAGCACAGGGCAUCAGUUAUUGACCUGGUAUAAUUUGAAUUCUUUAUUACUACUGGAGUCUAAUAUUGCUAUACCAUGUCUAACACUGGGCUCAAUCAGAUUUCAGAACAAGAGAGCCUGAACUGAAGGUAGUAUUUUUUAAGUUUUAAAUGGGAACAUUUCUAUGUAUAAGACACCAAGAUCAUUUCUUAACCAAAAUGUAGUUAUUUACAAUUCAUUUUUCCCCGUGGGGAUAUAAGGACAUCUUUGUAUUUCAGCAAAAGUAAAGCACUAGUAAAUAAAGAGUUAAAGUGAAGGCAGGCUCACUGGUUUGUUGAGAUCUGUCAGAGUCUGAGUGGCUGGCUACAUAUCUGUCUCAGGAACAAUAGCUACCUGUAUUCUGCACGGACUGCUGGGCAGGCACUAGCAAUCUGGAAAAGGUCUGUCUCUGUUAGAGGUUUCUUAGUGAGAAUCCCUAAUGACAGUCCCACUUUUCAUUGGGGGCAGGGGGGAAAUCCUGUCUUCUCUCUUGAUGAAGGACAGUGCUUUGAUCAUUGUCAUUCAGCCUUGACUUGGCCUGAGGUUUAGGUUCUCAGCCUAGAAGACAGUAGGCUAUCUUCUCUCUCUCUCUCUCUCUCUCUCUGACACACACACACGUACGUUUGCUGGUCUGUGCAGGCAGAUUAGUGUCACAGCUGUAACUGAGGCACAGAGCAAUAAACAUAGCAGAAGCAAUUUCCAUGGUGGCAAGAGGGGGCACGGGAGGUGACGACAAUGAGAAGGAUCUCUUCUUCUGACAAGUUUUAGAUACUACAGGCUUAUUGAACAAUCCAUCGACCCUUCUGUAGUGAGUCCACUUAGUGCAGAAUGGCUGCAGGGAAACUAUUCAGACAUCCCGAUUGGAACAAAUCCCUUCAGGAUUUAACGCAGGAAGCACGGGACGUUUACGCAGGUACGAUAAAUAAAUGAAUAUUGGACUACAUCACAUAGGUCCUGGACAACAAAAGAGGCUUUGCACUGAAAUACCUCCAAAGCUUUCUGAAAAUGCUAAUAGAGAGAAGUUUUCCUGGCAUGAAAAAGUAAAUCAUACACAAAGUUAGUUGAACAACAUUUUAUACAUCACUCAUCCUGUUACAUCCAUGAAGCUGUUCCAUUUUCCUGUAAGGACGAAUCUUUGGCUGACCUCGUUGAGAUGAAUGAAGAACAUGGCAGAUGAAAUGAGAAGGAGGGGAUUAUCCAUCUGAAAACUGAGGACAUCCAGUUAAAGCUCAUCUUCUUUUAAUCUUCAUGGUUUAUCAAUGCAAGAAAAAGGCAGUGGCUGACAGAGGCAAAGGAAGUUCUUCUUACUGCUCUCAGUGGAUGAUUGAUCAUACCCGCCAGCUGGCUAAUAUCAUAAUUAACAAAGUUGCUACCACGUCUGAGAAGUAUAAUCGAAAAAUUUACCAGCAGCGUGAUGCCAUUGUCACAAAGAUCAUAAGCACUGCAGAGUCAACUUUUGCACUCGGGAGCUGCAGAACUAUGUAGAUGUGCUGAGAAGGGGUGCACUUGUACAGCUAAAGAUGUAAAAACUGAGAACAAUGUCUGAGCUGCUAUCUAGAGACCCAAUUCACAUUGCAUUUAUAAAACAUUCUUGAGAUGCGAUUGCAGAAAGAGGAGGAUUUAGUUCUGGCAAAACUAGUCCAGUGGCAAAGUGCAGAACUGAUGUGGCUGUCAUGGUAAAGGAAUUCCGGAAUAAAGAACCAUUGUCUGAAGCUAAUCUUUACAUGCAGGAGUAGAUGGUAUCAAUGGGAAAAAAUGGGAACUCAUUAAAGAGAAAACAUUAAUCAAGUAGAAGGAAGUUCUUUCAGAGACAGGUCAAAUCAGCUGUUUUGAUGAAAUACACUGUAUGUCAAUGUAAAGGAACUAUUUGAGAGACUAUGGACGACAACUGCUGUUCAGUUUAACAUUUGUAUGACAAGUGGGUGAAUGUCCUUCUCUUACAAGUCAAUGCAGAGGAAGUGGAAAAGAGGUUUAGAAUUUAUGGAAGACUAGCUACAAACUGACAAAGCUAUUUUGUCAACUAGACUUGCAUAGCCUUUUGAAAGUGCCCACAACUAUGAAAACAAAAGCUGAAAAUUUUAAAAUCAACAUGUCACUUAUAAAAGCUCUGUGUACGCCUGGGAUUUAGCCAAGACACUGGAAUAUGAUGAGUCAAAAGGUUCUGCUGGAGGAUCACAUUGUGAAAACUACAGCCAUGAAAGUCCCUCCAUUUAUUGCACCCUUCAAAAACGAAAUAUUAGCAUGGGAGGCUAAGCUGCGCGACUAAUGCAGGAGAUUAUGGAAACCUGGCUGCAAGUUCAAAAGGCCCUGGUGAUGCCGGGAACCCAUGCUUUGCUCACAAGAUACAUGUAACCAAAUAUCAGUAGAAGGAAAGCACUUUGAAGUUGUCAGUAGGAACUGGAGGCUAAUAAUGAAGGAGUCAGUGAAGGAGGCCAAUGGCAUGAGGGUUAUCUCACAGCCCCAGAUGCUGGAUAAGUUGAAGGAGGCAGAAUCGCUUUUGGAUGACAUUCAGAAAGGCCUGAAUGAUUAUUUGGAGAAGAAAAGACUAUUCUUUCUAAGGUUUUUUUCUUUCUGUGCAACGAUGAGCUCUUAGAAAUCCUUUCUGAGACAAAGGAUCCACUCCGAGACCAAUCACACCUGAAGAAAUGCUUUGAAGGAAUUGCCAAGCUCACUUUUAAUCAUGAGAAAGAAAUUACUCACAUGGAGUCAGCAGAAAAUGAAAAAGUAGAGCUCGUGCUGCGAAUAAUUCCAGCAAGUGCCAAGGGGCUAGUUGAGAAAUGGCUUCAUGAGGUGAAUAUCUUUAGCUCUUACUUAGGGUUUAGUUACUGUAUAAUCAUUUUCUCUUUUAGGAGCAAGGAAUAUCAUAAGCAUAUUUCCUAAGUAAAUAGCUCUCUGAGAAUUUAUCAGAUUAUUUGACAGAUUGAAUAUCAGCCUCAUUGUUGUUAUUUAUUACAACUAAUUGACACGUGCAAACAUGCACAAAUUAAUUUUAAUAAAGAGGUUAUCAGUGUGUGAGACACUUAAUAAAAGUGUGUGUGUCUGAAACCAUAUAUGUGACUAUAUGUUCAAUUCUAUGUAUAUGUAUUUUUGUUGUCUUCUCCCUGUAAUUUUUAUAGUUUGGAAAAAGAGAUUUUUUUACAAAGCAGUUUAAAGGAACGUGAAGAGAUUUUUUUACACGCCCCUUUCCCCAAAAAAUCUUAAUUUUCAAUAAUAUUAAGCAAAGGGAAGAGAAAUAUUUAAUUGACAAUAUAUUAACCUUUCCCCUUUGGGCCUAUGAUCCAAAUUAAUCCAUUUCAGUGUGAAAUUAGUUUGAUGAUCUUUAUUGUUUGCUUUAUUUUUACCUUCUUCUGUUACACAAUCAAAGUGGGUCUUUCCUCUGAUAUACAAUUCUAGGCCAAGUCCACUUCCAAUCCCUCCUUCCUUCUUUCAAGAUAGAAUCAGCCCCAGGUACACAUCUUUCCUUUCUGUUGUUAUUGCAGGCACUGCUUUUACCCCAUUAAAUCUGUCCCUUUACCUCUUGCCUCUUCUCACUUCAGGCUAUCAGCCAACCAGGGUCUACAACUGAGAAAAGCAAUACCUUAUACUAGAAAAGGGAGAAAAGGAAAAACAAAAACAAAAAUCACACAGAGAAUGUUCUUUCCAAGGUGGAUUCUGUGGUGCGGGGGGAAGGAGGGGAGGAGAAAUUUGUCAAAGGAACUGAGAGUGAACUUUCGCUAAGAGUAUUACUUCUGUUAUGUGCCGAGUUUCUGCUGGCUGGGUGAGCAAAACAAAACAGCUCAAGUCCUCUCAUGAUUCCAUGUUUCCCACAUAACUGAGCCACAUAUCACCAUGCCAACUUAGAAUUAAUCUUUUUUAAAGUGACUGCACGCAAUUUAAAACAGUUCAUCACAGUUAGUCAGGGGAGGGUAAGGACAGAGCCUACUUAGGCACAAAUACCUCCUUCCCUACUCUCCAAAGACAAUUAUUACACUUCAUUUUUGUACUAAUUUUCAGCACAACGUUAUGUUCUUUGGAAAAACAUUGGAGCUAGAGAGCUGUGGUAGGUAUGAGAUAUGCAGUUAUGAGGAGCCUAGGAAAGGCAGAUCUCACCAUACCGGAAAACCUGCAGUAUGUUGUUUAGUUCUCUCUCUCGCUCUCGCUCUCCAACAAAAGAGAGAGAGAGAGAGAGAGAGAGGGAGAUGAGCAGCUGUGUUUAUUUUAAUACAUCUCAUUUAACCCUCACCUAAAAACAAAUGGAAAGGUUUGGGAGUGCAUUAAUCUGGACCCAAUUAGCAUCUCUUUCUCCCUCAAAAGUGCAACCUGAGAUUGAUGAAUAUAAAAUAGAGUUUCAUAUGCAGUCUUUAAAUCAUUUGCAUGUUUUAUGCAUGAUAAUUGAAUUUAUUUAUGCACUUCCUUUCAUUUAAUAAUUUCCUGCUCUUUCCUGUGCUAUCCACAUUGUACUAUCCAAGAAAUAGGAUUUCAUAGUCAAGCAAGGAUAGGAGUAUAUAAAUAAAACCAAGUUAAUUUUUAGGUCUAAUGUAAACUGUAAAUAAAAAUUAAUAUUUGUGUUACUUUAAUUGGGUUAAUGUAAAAUAUUGUAGUUAAAGUAUAUACUUUUAGCCUUUUCAGACACUUUGGAUAUUGCUUAGUAUGCUUGUAAGUGUACAAGCAAAAUUAUUUUCAAAAGGCCAUGAAAGGCAGUUAAAUUAUUGUAUUGACAUUUCUAUGACCCUAGAGACUUGUGUUUCAACUUGGCCAAUUAGUAGUAAUAGUAGUAAUAAGAUAAUCAGAAGAUGAAUAGUAAUUACAUUAAUAACUAAUGGUAUUCAGCCCAGGACCUUCAGAAUCAGUCUGGUUUAGAAUAUAAUAGUACAUUAUAAUUUGUCUUAUUCAGUAUUUGAUCAGUAGAAAUAUGAGCAUUGGCUGCCUAGUAAAUUUAUCAUAGGCAGGAUGUACAAGUUAUAGAGAUCAGUUUGCCACAUUACUGGCCCUGUGAUUGUGCCUGUAAAGUGCCAUAAUGGGGAAAAUUGCUUUUUUUCCCCAAUUAAGCUCAGAUGUCUAGUGAUUCCAUGGUGCUGGUGUCUGAAUUCUUUGCAAUGCAAAGUCCAUCCUUGUGAUGGUCAUGCCAGGAAGCUACUUGGGAAAGGAUUUUUUUAAACAAGGGAUUCUGGUAGUGUUUCUCAUAGUUUUGAUUUGUGCCAGUGCUUCUCUUGUCUCUUGUCUUUCCGUCUGUGUUUAAAGAUGUAUGUGGAAGUGAUCUUUUUCUGUGGCGUCCUGUCUUUUUCAGUGACUUAAUUGGUUUUGUGUUGUGAUUGUUUCCUGAUCUUUGUAGGUAGGAAUGUCUUUAAAGGCUAAAGUUCUGUUAAUUUGUGAUGUAACAAUUUCAGUGUGUUUCUUGUCAUUGAAAUGUAGUUUAAAAUGUUCAGUAAUGUAGCAUGAAAUUAUUGGUUAGUUUUGAAAUGGUUGUGAAAUCAUGUGAAGAAAAUAAGUAUUGCAUCUGAUCAAGAUAAAUUCACUCUAGUGUUUUAUGGCUUUUUAUUCCUAUGUGAUAGUAAUAAAGUCUCAUGUAGGGAUGGAAGCCAUGAAAUACAUUGUGAAAAAUCAUCAACUAAGAUGGGGCCAUGAGUAUAGAAAAAGGUAUAGUUGUAGAGCUAUUGAAAAUUGUUGGGAAAUGAUUUAGUAUGUCACCAUGUUGAUUACCAUGUUUGCAUUUUAUUUCUUCAUCCCUCACCCAUGUAAUUUGGCAAGUAAGGAAAUUAGUUUAUAACAGGUUGAUUCACCUUUACAUCAGUGUUAAAUGUUUAAAUUGUUUAUACAUUUUUUAAAUUUUCUACUCAAGAUAACACUGUACAUGAAACACUAAACUAAUUAGUUAAUACUGUAAAAAACCAACAAAACGAAACAAAAACCCAACUUGUGAAUUUCCAAAUUCAUGUUAUUGCUACCUAAAUUAAGAAUGAAACAAACUAAGGUAUCCCAUUAGUCCAUGGUCCAGGUUUUUUUACUCCCACACUCAAUAAUAGACCUGAAUGAUGAGCUAGCAUGUAAAUAAUAAUUCUUUUUCUAUUGACAUGUUUUUCUGAAAAUAUACAUUCUCUUCUCUUUUUUCCCUAUUCUGGAAAUAAAACAAGGGAUUAUAGCUCCGAGGGCAGAAAAAUCACCUGUGAGAAUGUUCAUAAUAGUGCCAACAUCCCAUAUAUUGCUUUACUAUCCAAGUUUUGUCAAUCUUUGUAUAUCUUUCUGUCUUGGGUGUCAUUUUGUUUGUGGGACACUUCUGUGAAUGUGAGUCAUUCUUAUAUAACUAAUUUAUUUUUACAGUCUUCUUUCUGUAUUCCUUCUCUAAUGCAAAUUAAUAAAAAUAUUUUUGUUA